UUGUUAAAAUGUGCGGACAUCAGCUAUAACCAAAACUCUUUUCUUCUUAACAGGCCCAGUUCUGGUGAAUGAUUUCACUUCUGACAGAAGUUGUCCCUCAAAAGCAAAUGUGCAAUAAAUGAAACAGAUCUCAGCAUGCUGGACUUCUCUAUGGACAGACAUUCAGGUUAUUUCUUCUGCACAUUAGUAGAGGUGCCAUGAGUGGAAGAGCUAAGUCACAGGUGAGGACACCAAGGCUCAGAGAGAUCCAUGUGUUGUCUGCAGUCACACUAAUGAACGGUAAGGGACAGAACCUUUCUGGGAAGAGACUGUCCACAGGUGAGCAUGUUGGUGGAGUAUAAGGUGCUCUUUAAAAAAAGUUGUUGUCAAUGUUGGAUUCAAAGGGGGAUAACAAAGAGUCUUUCUGUCUUGAAUCAGGCAAGCUUUUUAAAUGUUCAUUUAUUUUUAGAUUAUGGAGGACUAAAAAGAAAAAGCUAAUCAUUGCAUUAGGUUGGAAAUUAAGUCCCCCCACCUCUUUUCCUAAACUAGUUUACCUGUAAUAUAUACAUUUCUAAGGGCAUUUUCCUGAAAAUGCUUAGAUACUACUAAUGAAGUCAGAAGUGUCAGAAUUAAUUCUGAAUAAUGUUCAAAACAAAGGUUUUGUUUAGUUACAUUGUUGCAUUAGAAAUGAGCCAAGAGUCCAAUAAGACUUGUCACCCUUUCAAGGUUCAAUAUAGUUUAUUGCCAAGUACAUUUUUAUUUUAAAAGCUCAGCAUAAGGGGAAACAGAUUACGAUUGGGUUUACUGAGUACAAAGGACUCUGUGACCGUCAUGGGUUUAAUACAUUUUGUCCAAGGAAUGGGAAAUAGGUCCUUUUUAACAGAUAGUAAAGACAUAAGGUUAUGGUGGACAAGACUUAAAAAUUUAACCAGUAUAUGUAGAUUAAGCACGGAUUUAGGGUUGGAUGUAAUCCUGAAUAAUUAAUCUAUCUGAGCCUUAAUUUCCAUAUCUGAAAAAUGGAAAUGUUAAAAUUGCAAACACCGAAGACAUGAGCAUGAGUAGUAAAUUACCAAAUUGGCCUUCUGACUGCCAAAGGGGACUUGAGUGAUGGGGAAGAAAGGCAGACAAACUUUUGAACACAGAUUGGGUGAACUAGGGAGUAACUGGUCAUCUAGAAAGAUGUUUUUAAAAUGUUACUUGAAGUCAGUAGGACUCUGGCUUCUUUGUUAUUUUGUUCACAAAUAUGUUAACAAUGUCCAGAGAGGCCUACGUAUUUAUAAAACUGACAGCUGGGUGAGG